rnacentral:rRNA from 1 species
UGGGGGAUAUUGCACAAUGGGCGAAAGCCUGAUGCAGCGACGCCGCGUGGGGGAUGAAGGCCUUCGGGUUGUAAACUUCUUUUGCUCUGAACAAGGCAUGCUAAUGGGUGUGUUGAGUGUAGGGGUUGAUUAGCGCCGGCUAACUACGUGCCAGCAGCCGCGGUAAUACGUAGGGCGCGAGCGUUGUCCGGAAUUAUUGGGCGUAAAGGGCUUGUAGGUGGCUGGUUGCGUCUGUCGUGAAAGCUCAUGGCUUAACUGUGGGUUUGCGGUGGGUACGGGCUGGCUUGAGUGCAGUAGAGGAGGCUGGAAUUCCUGGUGUAGCGGUGGAAUGCGCAGAUAUCAGGAGGAAUACCGGUGGCGAAGGCGGGUCUCUGGGCUGUUACUGACACUGAGGAGCGAAAGCAUGGGGAGCGAACAGG